GCUCUUUUCGCCUGCGGGCAUAUUCGUCAACUUGUAAAGAUACAGAGAAGAUUAGCAUGGCCCCUGCACUAAGGAUGACACGCUCAAUCAAAGAGAAGCUACCAAUUUUU
rnacentral:snRNA from 1 species